UUGAUAGUUGAAAAAGUACAUAUAGGGUUAUACAGUUUAGCCAGUCAGACUGGUUAGCGAAAUAUAUUAAUUUGAAUACAGAGAUGAGGAAAAGAGCGAAAAACGACUUUGAGAAAGACUUCUUCAAACUCAUGAACAACGCUGUAUUUGUUAAAACAAUGCAGUCAAAACGCAAGGAAAUGAAAAUGGAGUUAGUAUUGUGUGAGAGACGACUGUAGAAGUUGAUAAAUAAAAAUACAUUCCAGCAUUGUACUAAUUACAACGAGAAUCUGAACGCUGUUGCUCUAGAAAAUAAGAUUAUCAAAUUCCAUAAACCUAUAUAUAUUGGGUUCGCUGUUCUGGACAUAUCCAAAACCAAAAUGUAUGACUAUCAUUACAACRUUAUGAAGAAACAUUAUAAAGAUAAAAUUAAGCUAAUGUAUACUG